GAUGAACGCUGGCGGCGUGCCUAAUACAUGCAAGUCGAGCGAACGGACGAGAAGCUUGCUUCUCUGAUGUUAGCGGCGGACGGGUGAGUAACACGUGGAUAACCUACCUAUAAGACUGGGAUAACUUCGGGAAACCGGAGCUAAUACCGGAUGAUAUUUUGAACCGCAUGGUUCAAAAGUGAAAGACGGUCUUGCUGUCUCUUAUAGAUGGAUCCGCGCUGCAUUAGCUAGUUGGUAAGGUAACGGCUUACCAAGGCAACGAUGCAUAGCCGACCUGAGAGGGUGAUCAGCCACACUGGAACUGAGACACGGUCCAGACUCCUACGGGAGGCAGCAGUAGGGAAUCUUCCGCAAUGGGCGAAAGCCUGACGGAGCAACGCCGCGUGAGUGAUGAAGGUCUUCGGAUCGUAAAACUCUGUUAUUAGGGAAGAACAUAUGUGUAAGUAACUGUGCACAUCUUGACGGUACCUAAUCAGAAAGCCACGGCUAACUACGUG
rnacentral:rRNA from 1 species